ACCCGCCAGUGAUGUACUCAUUCUAAAGAAAUGUUCCAAAAUGAUCUAUCAGUUUAUGGAAAACUUCAGCUAAUGAAUUCAUUUCAAGUCAAUGAGUAAAUCUUAUCUAUCUUUGGCGCAUGAAAAAAAUCAACAAGCUCCUGCUCCAUCGAGAAAAAGAAUUCAGUCCACAAAAAGGGUCAGUUCCGGUAAACAGUAAAAUAAACAACCUAUGAUCAUCAAGGUCACUGUCUCCGUGCAAGUUCGCUCACGGGGCCGGUGCCGGACUACUUCUCCCGUCGCAAUAACCAUUCCCAUGUACCCACGUGUAACAACAUGCCAAAACCUUGUAAUUUAUUUGUGUAACGACUCGAAACCAUUGUGGUUGGUAAGGCGGCGACGGUCGGCGCCGUUAAAAUAUUAAGACCUUAAUGUCGGUACCCAUACUGCCGAUCAGCCGAGAACAAAAAAUGGUGAAAAACACGUGCAGAGACCCUCUGACCUGCCGCUGUGAGAUCCACCUCAGCUGCAGUGCAGUAUAUCAAUCUCCAUACCCCCGACGCCAACCACCUAAUCCACCCGACUACUCAUCAUAAUAUCAUUGCCGCACGAAUCCAACGGCCAAUCAAAUUUAAGUCCUAGUAGAAACAUGCAAUCAUAUUAUCAUCCACGCCUGAAAGUGAAAGUGAGCACACAGUGAAGGCCCAUCCAAGUCUGGAAUAGUAUAUGAACAAUGACGUCAACGCACCGCCUUUGAUAAAUUAAUUAAUAUUAUAUUAUAUAUACACACAGAGAGAGAGAUAGAGAGACCCAUCUUAAAACCUCUCUCGCUUUAACAAGUAAGUCCAAGGCUACGCCUCUGGUAGGAUCCACCCUUGAUUCCUUGAACAAAAGGACUUGGUCUUCGUUGCCGCAAACAGAGACUUCGUUUCAUCUCUGCGUCGGCCGUUGCGCAAACAGAGACUUCGUUGAUUCGUUUGCGGAGAAAGAAAGAGCUCUUUGUGGUGGUAAAAACGAUCGAGAGAUGAUGGUUGAGUUAUUUCUUCUUGGAUGUACUGGGAUUGUAUUGUUUCUCCACGGUGCUAAUUUCAUUUUUCAUGUUCUUUCCAAACAUGUCGCCGUCCGAUCACUCAGUUUCUUGGGAUUUGUUGGAUGGUAGAGCAAAGCGGGAAUCAAGAAUGAGGCGAUUAAUAAUUCAUCAAGCUACGUUUUUUAGUUUUUGAAUAGCAAAAAAAUUGGGAUCUGCAGGGUCCUGAUCUCCGUGACAGCGCCCAGAUGGUUUAGCCUUGGCGUGAAGGAUGGAGAACAUUGCCUAUCCAAAGCGCAACUUUUAUUUACUUGUUUUUUUAAAAUUUUGUUGAGAUAGGAGUAGUUAGCAGCUUGGACAUGCCGUGACGCGCGCAUUGUAUAUAUUAUUACAUUAUGUUUCAGAAAGCUCAGGGGGAAAUAAAGUUUGAAAUAAAUGGGAAGCUGGCUUUAGUUGAGCCAAACCAUCUUGUAAUCCCUGAAUAAUUACUUCUAAUCUUCGAACAUGAACGCUAGAAUAGUUCAAACUUCAGUCCAUUCUUCAA